rnacentral:tRNA from 1 species
AAGAUACUAGUAAUAAAAAUUACGCUACUUUGUCAAGGUAUAAUUGUAGGUUAAAGCCCUGCGUAUCUUA